UGUGCACCAGUGGGGUCCCUCAGCCUGGCCUGUGCCCUCUCACAAUCCAGGACCACUCAGGGGAUGUUGGAGAGCCAGUUUCAGACUGAUCCCACAGGCCAGGCUGAGGGACCCCACUGGUGCACA
rfam:Myotis lucifugus cont2.14554, whole genome shotgun sequence.